rnacentral:rRNA from 1 species
GACGAACGCUGGCGGCGUGCUUAACACAUGCAAGUCGAACGGAAAGGCCCUGCUUUUGUGGGGUGCUCGAGUGGCGAACGGGUGAGUAACACGUGAGUAACCUGCCCUUGACUUUGGGAUAACUUCAGGAAACUGGGGCUAAUACCGGAUAGGAGCUCCUGCUGCAUGGUGGGGGUUGGAAAGUUUCGGCGGUUGGGGAUGGACUCGCGGCUUAUCAGCUUGUUGGUGGGGUAGUGGCUUACCAAGGCUUUGACGGGUAGCCGGCCUGAGAGGGUGACCGGGCACAAUGGGACUGAGGUAAGGCCCAGACCCCUACGGGAGGCAGCAGUGGGGAAUAUUGCACAAUGGGCGGAAGCCUGAUGCAGCAACGCCGCGUGCGGGAUGACGGCCUUCGGGUUGUAAACCGCUUUCGCCUGUGACGAAGCGUGAGUGACGGUAAUGGGUAAAGAAGCACCGGCUAACUACGUG